rnacentral:lncRNA from 1 species
UAAGAGUUUAAGUGGAAAUAAGAAUUUAGAGUGAGAAAACUUAUUUGACUAUGUUUAUUUGCUUGAGGACAAGCAAAAGGCUAAGUGUGGGGGUAUUUGAUAGAACAUAAUUUAGUCCAUUUUAUAUUAAUAUUAUUAAUGAAUAUUUACAUGAUUUCUGCUUAAUUUAUUACUUUUAAUAUUAUUUUGCAGAAAAUAGUGUAAAAGGACAAUUUGGAGAAAAUCCCCCUAAAACUGCCUUAUUUGGAGCAAAAGAGAGCAAGCCUGUCAAAUUGGAUCCAAAUCAAGCAACUUGGACACAUGGACAGCCC